rnacentral:rRNA from 1 species
GACGAACGCUGGCGGCGUGCCUAAUACAUGCAAGUUGAGCGCUGAAGGUUGGUACUUGUACCAACUGGAUGAGCAGCGAACGGGUGAGUAACGCGUGGGGAAUCUGCCUUUGAGCGGGGGACAACAUUUGGAAACGAAUGCUAAUACCACAUAAAAACUUUAAACACAAGUUUUAAGUUUGAAAGAUGCAAUUGCAUCACUCAAAGAUGAUCCCGCGUUGUAUUAGCUAGUUGGUGAGGUAAAGGCUCACCAAGGCGAUGAUACAUAGCCGACCUGAGAGGGUGAUCGGCCACAUUGGGACUGAGACACGGCCCAAACUCCUACGGGAGGCAGCAGUAGGGAAUCUUCGGCAAUGGACGAAAGUCUGACCGAGCAGCGCCGCGUGAGUGAAGAAGGUUUUCGGAUCGUAAAACUCUGUUGGUAGAGAAGAACGUUGGUGAGAGUGGAAAGCUCAUCAAGUGACGGUAACUACCCAGAAAGGGACGGCUAACUACGUG